rnacentral:rRNA from 1 species
UUAUGGCUAUAUCAGGUUGAAACACCGGCUCUCGUACGAUCACCGAAGUUAAGCAAUGUCGAACCUGGUCAGUACCUAGAUGGGUGACCCUUUCGGAAUACCAGGUGCUAU